AGUGAACGCUGGCGGUAGGCCUAACACAUGCAAGUCGAACGGCAGCACAGGAGAGCUUGCUCUCUGGGUGGCGAGUGGCGGACGGGUGAGGAAUACAUCGGAAUCUACUUUUUCGUGGGGGAUAACGUAGGGAAACUUACGCUAAUACCGCAUACGACCUACGGGUGAAAGCAGGGGAUCUUCGGACCUUGCGCGAUUGAAUGAGCCGAUGUCGGAUUAGCUAGUUGGCGGGGUAAAGGCCCACCAAGGCGACGAUCCGUAGCUGGUCUGAGAGGAUGAUCGGCGACACUGGAACUGAGACACGGUCCAGACUCCUACGGGAGGCAGCAGUGGGGAAGAUUGGACAAUGGGCGCAAGCCUGAUCCAGCCAUACCGCGUGGGUGAAGAAGGCCUUCGGGUUGUAAAGCCCUUUUGUUGGGAAAGAAAUCCAGCUGGCUAAUACCCGGUUGGGAUGACGGUACCCAAAGAAUAAGCACCGGCUAACUUCGUGCCAGCCGCCGCCGUAA
rnacentral:rRNA from 1 species